GAGGGGCCUCCCUCUCUUGCUCUCGCGGGCUGCAGACGCCUCACCCGCUCUCAGCCUCUCCUGAGCUGGGCUUCGCUCCCGGAGCAGCGGACGGCCCCUCUCCAGCCACGGCGGCCACCGGCUCCGUCUCUCCCGCCUCAGCCGUGGUGGCGCUUGCAGCUGCUCCAGGACCAAGACCGGAGCCCACUCCAGGGCCAGGACCUGCCCCAGUGGCCGCCAUCGCUACCCCUUCGGAGGCUCUCGCGAGAAUAGCAUCUGUUCGGGACAGGAUAGAAUGGGCUGAUAUAGACCCAGUACCACAGAAUGACGGCCCUAAUCCAGUGGUCCAGAUCAUCUACAGUGAGAAAUAGAUGUUUACGAUUACUUCCGAGCCGUUCUGCAACGCGAUGAAAGAAGUGAACGAGCCUUUAAGCUCUCCCGGGAUGCUAUUGAGUUAAACGCAGCCAACUAUAUAGGGUGGCACCAUCAGAGAGUCUCAGUGGAAUGGCUUGAGUUCGUUGCCGAUAUUCUUAAUAAAGAUGCAAAGAAUUAUCGUGCAUGGCAGCAUCAACAGUGGGUCAUUCAGGUAUACUCUGGAAAGGAUCAAAUUAGUACCACACAGUGAAAGUGCAUGGAACUACUUGAAAGGCUUCCAGUUAUUGCCUGUCGUUCUUCCUUUAGGUGUGGAACCUGUGAAAAUCCUCCAUCCACACUGGACUUUUCAUGGCAAUGAGAUACAUCUGCUCCUGGAAGUACCAAUUACUUCAUGAGGAA